rnacentral:rRNA from 1 species
GACGAACGCUGGCGGCGUGCCUAAUACAUGCAAGUCGAACGGUCUUUUCUAUGGAAGCUUGCUUCCGCUGAGAAGAUAGUGGCGAACGGGUGAGUAACACGUGGGUAACCUGCCCAUAAGAGGGGGAUAACAUCCGGAAACGGGUGCUAAUACCGCAUAGUUUUCUUGAUCGCAUGAUUGAGAAAGGAAAGACGGCCUUUGUGCUGUCGCUUAUGGAUGGACCCGCGGCGUAUUAGUUAGUUGGUGAGGUAACGGCUCACCAAGACGAUGAUACGUAGCCGACCUGAGAGGGUGAUCGGCCAGAUUGGGACUGCGACACGGCCCAAACUCCUACGGGAGGCAGCAGUAGGGAAUCUUCCGCAAUGGACGAAAGUCUGACGGAGCAACGCCGCGUGAGUGAAGAAGGUUUUCGGAUCGUAAAACUCUGUUGUCAGAGAAGAACAAGUCGGAGAGUAACUGCUCCGGCCUUGACGGUAUCUGACCAGAAAGCCACGGCUAACUACGUGCCAGCAGCCGCGGUAAAAC